CCUACGGGAGGCUGCAGUGAGGAAUAUUGGUCAAUGGACGAGCGUCUGAACCAGCCAAGUAGCGUGAAGGAUGACUGCCCUAUGGGUUGUAAACUUCUUUUAUAUGGGAAUAAAAUGUUCCACGUGUGGGAUUUUGUAUGUACCAUAUGAAUAAGGAUCGGCUAACUCCGUGCCAGCAGCCGCGGUAAUACGGAGGAUCCGAGCGUUAUCCGGAUUUAUUGGGUUUAAAGGGUGCGUAGGUGGAUUGUUAAGUCAGUUGUGAAAGUUUGCGGCUCAACCGUAAAAUUGCAGUUGAAACUGGCAGUCUUGAGUACAGUAGAGGUGGGCGGAAUUCGUGGUGUAGCGGUGAAAUGCUUAGAUAUCACGAAGAACUCCGAUUGCGAAGGCAGUUCACUGGACUGCAACUGACACUGAGGCUCGAAAGUGUGGGUAUCAAACAGGAUUAGAUACCCUUGUAGUC
rnacentral:rRNA from 1 species